rnacentral:rRNA from 1 species
CCUACGGGAGGCAGCAGUGGGGAAUUGUUCACAAUGGGCGCAAGCCUGAUGACGCAACGCCGCGUGGGGGAUGAAGGUCUUCGGAUCGUAAACCCCCUGUCGAAUGGGACGAAUAGCUUCCGGAUUAAUACCCCGGAGGAAUGACGGUACCGUUAAAGGAAGCCACGGCUAACUCUGUGCCAGCAGCCGCGGUAAUACAGAGGUGGCAAGCGUUGUUCGGAAUUACUGGGCGUAAAGGGCGCGUAGGCGGCCAUCUAAGUCAGACGUGAAAUCCCCCGGCUCAACCUGGGAACUGCGUCUGAUACUGGAAGGCUAGAGUUUGGGAGAGGGAUGUAGAAUUCCAGGUGUAGCGGUGAAAUGCGUAGAUAUCUGGAGGAAUACCGGUGGCGAAGGCGGCAUCCUGGACCAAUACUGACGCUGAGGCGCGAAAGCUAGGGGAGCAAACGGGGAUUAGAUACCCCGGGUAGUCCUAGCCCUAAACGAUGAAUACUUGGUGUGGCGGGUAUCGAUCCCUGCCGUGCCGAAGCUAACGCAUUAAGUNUCCGCUGGGGAGUACGGUCGCAAGGCUGAACUGAAAGGAAUUGAGGCGNGAGAGUGCCGAGGACGACGACGAGGGAGGAGG